UCGGAUGUGGUGCACGGCGCACACCCACUACGAAUGUGGUUUGAUCAAUGAUGACCUUUCAAUGCGGGAGCCUGGGUUCGACUCCCAGCGUCCGAA